CGGUGAAGGAACAAGGUUUCUAAGCGCAAUCCUCUGAUUUUGAAAGCCUCCACCAAACCCAUUAAAGAAGAGUUUUAAGAGAAAAAUAUAUAUAUCAGGCGAUGGAGAUGAUUGCAUUUGUUUUCUCCCACACUAAUAUUUCUUUACACAAAAUCACAGGCAAGGGUGUGCGUUAGAAGAACGGAAAGAAAGUCUUUCAAACUUUACAGGGUCUUGGAUCGCAGCUGAAAAUGAUUCCCUUUCAUCGGUUCUGGAAUUCAUUUUCUUUGGUCAAGUAUCAUGAUUACGAGUUUUCAAACAGAAAUUCAAAGGGAUUUGAAAGCAUCACCAGCCAAUAGAAUACAACGUUCCUGGAGAUUCAACAUUAUGUUUUACUAGCUCUACCACCUGCAGACCUGAAAACUUUCCUUUUUUAAUUUUUUUAAAAGCUGAAACUAUGCAGUUUCUCGGAAGGUUGAUACUCUUUCUUUUUUCACGUGGCUUUAAGCUGAAACUCCAAGCAGCGAUAACUGCAAAAGCGAAGUUUUAAUCUGUGUGAAUGAAGUGAGCCUCUUCGUGAUAGAUUUGAUUUCAAAUAUUAGCAUUAGAGAACUGUGGCAUAUUGCAAUCCUGGAACCAAUUCGUGCUGGCCUCACUCCCUUGAGAAUCAUUGAUUCGAAUUUAGUAUAUGCUGGUGUGAGCGUGGAGAAAAAAACACUGGCCCUCAAUUCUCCUCUAGGAGGAAUACAGCGAUGGAGGGAGGACCCUCUGGCAAGUUUUCCUGCUUAGUUGCAAUGGGCCUAGCCAGUUCUUGAGAAAGUUUUAUGAAUAUCCUUAUGAAUUAAAAUGUUAGACAAAUCA